AGGGUCUCACACUAUUUCGCAGAGGGAAAUGGAGAGUUGACACAUCCGGACCAUGUCUCCUCAGGGACCUUAGAGGCUCAUAGCAACAGGCCUAUGAAGAGGAACCAGGGCGCAGAGGGCCAAUGACUGACCACAGCAAUAAAAAUAGCCAACAUCUAGUGCCCGCUGUCCUUGUGCCAUUGACCGGGCUAAAUGCUGUGCAGGGAGUUUGGCCAUGCUAUUAUCCUAUUCCACAGAUGAGGAAAGCAAGGCUCAAAGAGGUGAAAUUAUUUGCCUACAGCCACACAGUUUAUCAGGUGCAGAGCUUGGAGUUGAAGCACGCUGUGUAACACCCAGAGCUGUCCCUGGCAAGACUCAAACCAGCUGCGCCUGCCCAAAGCGCUCCAAAUAUGUCUGUUCCAGUUUCUUCCAGUCUGGAGGAGAUGCCAGCUUGCAGAGUGGGAUGGCCAGCAGUUCAGUGCUGGAGCCUCCCUACUGCCUCCCGACCUUCUCAGCGUUUACCUAUCCACAUGUUUCAUGGGGAAACUGUACUGAAGGAUCGAGAAGACUGCCUCUUCUUACAGGAGCCCUGAGAGGAAACAAGUAUAUCCGGAUUUAAAGAUGAGGACACCUAAAUUCACAGAUGUCAAGUCACUUGGGCAAAGUCACACAGCCAACAGAGGAAAGAACAAGAACUUGAACUCAGGUCCCUGGCAUCAGGAGCGUGGGCACUGGCUGGCCCUUGGACCCUCAGUUCUCAGGCCAGAGCUUCCUUGAAGACCAACAAAGCUCUCUCCCCACAGGCACCCAUGGGGGGCUACUGAUCAUUGAGGCCUGUCAUCUCUGCUGUCCUUAGAGCUCACCCUUUGGCUCUCAGUUUUUCCUCUCCCCCACAAAGCCUACCACCCCACAGCUCCUCAGGAAACAAGGGGAGCAAUGGAGCUUCCAGUGAUCGUUGAGGAUAUGAGGUCUAAUUCUCUGGCUCCCUGUGACCUCCACCCACCCAUAGCUUUUGGUCUAUCCCUUGACUCAAGCAGAACAAACCCAACCUCCCUCUCACAUCUGGAAAAUUCCUACUUCUACUUAUCCUUCAGGGCCUAGUCAAACAUUGAGGUUUUCCCUGUCUCUAGCUCACCUCUGAAGUUCAGGAGCUCCCCAGAGAGCCUUGCAAUUACCGACCUACAUGAACCCAGAGCUCAGUUCUGAACCCCCUCUUCCCUCUCUGUAGUCUCCCUACUGCCACUGACCUCUUGGCUAUACAUCCAGCAGCAAAGUCUAACAGGCCUCUUGAAUGGGACAAGUCUAACGCUGACGUCAGCGUUUCUGCAGAUAAACCUGCCUCUCCUCUUCUUUGCAUUAUGCUCCCCAGCCUGUCUCUAUUCUCCCUUCUACCCCUGAGUAAUUCUGUGAUCUACUCUUCUGAGUUACUCUUCUCCCUUCUGCCCCUCAGUAGCCACUGUGAUUAAAAAAAAAAAAAAUCCACCUUGAGGAAUAAUUACAUAUAAUAAACUGCACUCAUUUAAAAUAAACUAUACUUAUUUCAUAAUUUUUAUACAGGCACACCCCAGAGAUAUUAUGGGUUUGGUUCUAGACCACUGCAAUA